GGGCAGGAGAGCGGGCAGAGGCUGUGUACCCAGGGCAUGGCAGUGGAAACAGAGGAGAGGGGCCAGGAUAGGGAACAGGAAGAUGCAGGGACCUGGGAGAAGCCCACAGGCAGGGGCUGUGAGAUUGACUCGCCACUAUGCUGACACCUCUGACCCAAGUAGGGAGUGCAGGAGGGGAUGCCGGAGACAUAGCAGCUCGAGGUCCCUUCCAGGAAAACAAAAUGAAAUGAAAUCAGCAAGGAUGUGUAACUACAUGUAUGACUAAAUGCUGAUAGACUUGACAUGUGCAAAGCGUUUGUUCAUCUCAUCCAAGGCUGCCUACCUGUGAUGGAAAUGUAGAUCUUUCUUUACUGCAAGAGCGGUGUUUGUUUAAGUUAACCCACUUCAGCCAACAGGAAGAAAAUUCCAACUCAUAACUGAACUCAUCUACUUUUGAAGCCACAUUCACAUCAAUUUAUUAAUACUAUUUUUACACAAUUUCAGAACAUGUGCCUCUCAUAAAGUGUGUGUGUGUGUGUGCGUGUAUAGAGUUUUAUUCUUUAUUCAG
rnacentral:lncRNA from 1 species